rnacentral:rRNA from 1 species
CGGACGGGUGAGUAACGCGUGGGUAACCUGCCUCAUACAGGGGGAUAACAGUUAGAAAUGACUGCUAAUACCGCAUAAGACCACAGUACUGCAUGGUACAGUGGUAAAAACUCCGGUGGUAUGAGAUGGACCCGCGUCUGAUUAGGUAGUUGGUGAGAUAACGGCCCACCAAGCCGACGAUCAGUAGCCGACCUGAGAGGGUGACCGGCCACAUUGGGACUGAGACACGGCCCAG